CCUACGGGAGGCAGCAGUGAGGAAUAUUGGUCAAUGGCCGCAAGCCUGAACCAGCCAAGUCGCGUGAAGGAUGACUGCCCUACGGGUUGUAAACUUCUUUUAUAGAGGAAUAAAGUUAUGCACGUGUGCCUUUUUGUAUGUACUUUAUGAUUAAGCAUCGGCUAACUCCGUGCCAGCAGCCGCGGUAAUACGGAGGAUGCGAGCGUUAUCCGGAUUUAUUGGGUUUAAAGGGAGCGUAGAUGGGUUGUUAAGUCAGUUGUGAAAGUUUGCGGCUCAACCGUAAAAUUGCAAUUGAUACUGGAAGCCUUGAGUACAGUUGAGGUAGGCGGAAUGCGUGGUGUAGCGGUUAAAUGCUUAGAUAUCACGAAGAACUCCGAUUGCGAAGGCAGCUUACUAAACUGCAACUGACAUUGAUGCUCGAAAGUGUGGGUAUCAAACAGGAUUAGAUACCCGUGUAGUC
rnacentral:rRNA from 1 species